rnacentral:rRNA from 1 species
AGUGAACGCUGGCGGUAGGCCUAACACAUGCAAGUCGAACGGCAGCACAGUAAGAGCUUGCUCUUACGGGUGGCGAGUGGCGGACGGGUGAGGAAUACAUCGGAAUCUACUUUUUCGUGGGGGAUAACGUAGGGAAACUUACGCUAAUACCGCAUACGACCUACGGGUGAAAGCAGGGGAUCUUCGGACCUUGCGCGAUUGAAUGAGACGAUGUCGGAUUAGCUAGUUGGCGGGGUAAAGGCCCACCAAGGCGACGAUCCGUAGCUGGUCUGAGAGGAUGAUCAGCCACACUGGAACUGAGACACGGUCCAGACUCCUACGGGAGGCAGCAGUGGGGAAUAUUGGGCAAUGGGCGCAAGCCUGAUCCAGCCAUACCGCGUGGGUGAAGAAGGCCUUCGGGUUGUAAAGCCCUUUUGUUGGGAAAGAAAAGCAGCAGGUUAAUACCCCGCUGUUCUGACGGUACCCAAAGAAUAAGCACCGGCUAACUUCGUG